GGCCAAUACGAGCUGACGCAGCGACGCCGCGUGAGAGAGAGGCCUUCGGGUUGUAAUCCCUGUCGCGGGGAAGAAUGGAGAGACGGCACUGGAAGAAGACCCCCCGGAUAUCUGCGUGCCGACACSCGGGAAAUAUAGACCAUGGUGAUAGUAG
rnacentral:rRNA from 1 species